rnacentral:miRNA from 1 species
GCUCGCUGAGCCGGGGAGGAGGGAGAGAAGGAGAGCCCGCUUGCUUUGAAGGUGCAAAGCAGGAGAGGAGAGGAGCCACUUACAGCGGCUCCUGUCCGGUUGGCUCCUUUAAAGCAACCGUGCUCUCUUUCCCUCUCUCCCUCCCCGGCUCAGCAAGC